AUGCCGGUUGUUGUUAUGCAAGAUAUCAAAACAAACUGUUUCUCGCUUGGCAGUGUCGUUUUAGGAUGAGAUACGGUCGAUCACGGUUGCCAGAACUGCUGAUAGUUACGGUGUUCGGAAUAGGAGGAGGAUUUUACGCAUUUCAGCCAUCUUUUCGACAAUUACAAGAAGACCGUACCGGACCGAACACUAAAACCGAAACCAGUACUUCCAAAGAAACGUAGGACGAACAGCAUCCGUAAAAAUGUCUAUGGCAGCACUGUCUCGCAUGUUUCAAAUGAUCAAAGGAUCCCCGGUGGCAGUGGUCGGUGGAACAAUCCUUAUUUCCGGAUCAGUAAUCUACGCAUACCGCUCCGUUUAUCGUCCAUUUGCGACUCGAAGAGAGCGAGCGGAAUCUGAAGCGAUGGCGAAUUACAUUUUUCAAAUGGAGCAAUCCCGUCGACAAACCACCGAUAACAGUUGAGACGGAGUUUUCGUGAGAACGCUUUAAUAAAUUUAGUGAUGGUAUACUUA